rnacentral:rRNA from 1 species
GGCCUCAAAUCAGGUAGGACUACCCGCUGAACUUAAGCAUAUCAAUAAGCGGAGGAAAAGAAACUAACAAGGAUUCCCCUAGUAACGGCGAGUGAAGCGGGAAGAGCUCAAAUUUGAAAUCUGGUGGACUUUGUUCAUCCGAGUUGUAAUCUAGAGAAGUGUUUUCCGUGCCGGCCAAUGUACAAGUCCCUUGGAACAGGGCGUCGUAGAGGGUGAGAAUCCCGUACUCGACAUUGAUCACCGGUGCUCUGUGAUACAUUUUCAAAGAGUCGAGUUGUUUGGGAAUGCAGCUCAAAAUGGGUGGUAAAUUCCAUCUAAAGCUAAAUAUUGGCGAGAGACCGAUAGCGAACAAGUACCGUGAGGGAAAGAUGAAAAGCACUUUGGAAAGAGAGUUAAACAGUAUGUGAAAUUGUUAAAAGGGAAACGAUUGAAGUCAGUCGUGUCUUCUGGACUCAGCCGG